rnacentral:rRNA from 1 species
GGUAAUGCCGGAUGCUCCGACUCCUCGCAUGGGGUGUCGGGAAAGAUUUCAUCGGUAUGGGAUGGGGUCGCGUCCUAUCAGGUAGUCGGCGGGGUAACGGCCCACCGAGCCUACGACGGGUAGCCGGCCUGAGAGGGCGACCGGCCACAUUGGGACUGAGAUACGGCCCAGACUCCUACGGGAGGCAGCAGUGGGGAAUAUUGCACAAUGGGCGCAAGCCUGAUGCAGCGACGCCGCGUGCGGGAUGACGGCCUUCGGGUUGUAAACCGCUUUUGAUCGGGAGCAAGCCUUCGGGUGAGUGUACCUUUCGAAUAAGCACCGGCUAACUACGUGCCAGCAGCCGCGGUAAUACGUAGGGUGCAAGCGUUAUCCGGAAUUAUUGGGCGUAAAGGGCUCGUAGGCGGUUCGUCGCGUCCGGUGUGAAAGUCCAUCGCUUAACGGUGGAUCUGCGCCGGGUACGGGCGGGCUGGAGUGCGGUAGGGGAGACUGGAAUUCCCGGUGUAACGGUGGAAUGUGUAGAUAUCGAAAAGAAA